rnacentral:piRNA from 1 species
UGGUGCUGAUAAAGAAUGGUAAACUUUUU